GACGAACGCUGGCGGCGUGCUUAACACAUGCAAGUCGAACGGAAAGGCCCUGCUUUUGUGGGGUGCUCGAGUGGCGAACGGGUGAGUAACACGUGAGUAACCUGCCCUUGACUUUGGGAUAACUUCAGGAAACUGGGGCUAAUACCGGAUAGGAGCUCCUGCUGCAUGGUGGGGGUUGGAAAGUUUCGGCGGUUGGGGAUGGACUCGCGGCUUAUCAGCCUGUUGGUGGGGUAGUGGCUUACCAAGGCUUUGACGGGUAGCCGGCCUGAGAGGGUGACCGGCCACAUUGGGACUGAGAUACGGCCCAGACUCCUACGGGAGGCAGCAGUGGGGAAUAUUGCACAAUGGGCGGAAGCCUAUGCAGCAACGCCGCGUGCGAGAUGACGGCCUUCGGGUUGUAAACCGCUUUCGCCUGUGACGAAGCGUGAGUGACGGUAAUGGGUAAAGAAGCACCGGCUAACUACGUG
rnacentral:rRNA from 1 species